rnacentral:SRP_RNA from 1 species
GUUAGUUUGUGGCACACUUGUAUCGAACCGUGUCAGGUCUGGAAGGAAGCAGCACUAAGGUAUUAAGUGUGGGUAUGAACUGCUUAC